AGCUAGACGACGAGUCCCAAAUAGGACGAAAUGUGCAUCCUAGU
rnacentral:hammerhead_ribozyme from 1 species